UACGUAGGCAGCAAGCGUUGUUCGGAAUUACUGGGCGUAAAGAGUGUGUAGGCGGUGCUCUAAGUUCGGUGUGAAAUCUCCCGGCUCAACUGGGAGGGUGCGCCGGAAACUGGAAUGCUUGGGCGUGGGAGAGGAAAGCGGAAUUCCUGGUGUAGCGGUGAAAUGCGUAGAUAUCAGGAGGAACACCUGCGGUGUAGACGGCUUUCUGGACCAUUGCUGACGCUGAGACACGAAAGCGUGGGUAGCAAACAGG
rnacentral:rRNA from 1 species